CGGAGGGUCCAAGCGUUAUCCGGAAUCAGUUGGGUUUAAAGGGUCCGUAGGCGGUUUAAUAAGUCAGUGGUGAAAGCCCAUCGCUCAACGAUGGAACGGCCAUUGAUACUGUUAAACUUGAAUUAUUAGGAAGUAACUAGAAUAUGUAGUGUAGCGGUGAAAUGCUUAGAGAUUACAUGGAAUACCAAUUGCGAAGGCAGGUUACUACUAAUAUAUUGACGCUGAUGGACGAAAGCGUGGGGAGCGAACAGGAUUAGAUACCCUGGUAGUCCACGCCGUAAACGAUGGAUACUAGCUGUUCGGAGCAAUCUGAGUGGCUAAGCGAAAGUGAUAAGUAUCCCACCUGGGGAGUACGUUCGCAAGAAUG
rnacentral:rRNA from 1 species